rnacentral:rRNA from 1 species
ACAGGUGGUAAUCCCGAAUAUUCAGUUUCCGGGCAUCCGGGUUGUUGGAAAGCUUUUUGCGGUCAGGGAUCGUCUCGCGGCCUAUCAGCUUGUUGGUGGGGUAGUGGCCCACCAAGGCCUUGACGGGUAGCCGGCCUGAGAGGGCGACCGGCCACAUUGGGACUGAGAUACGGCCCAGACUCCUACGGGAGGCAGCAGUGGGGAAUAUUGCACAAUGGGCGGAAGCCUGAUGCAGCAACGCCGCGUGCGGGAUGACGGGCUUCGGGUUGUAAACCGCUUUCACCCAUGACGAAAGCGCGAAGUGACGGUAGUGGGG